rnacentral:rRNA from 1 species
UACGUAGGGUGCGAGCGUUAUCCGGAAUUAUUGGGCGUAAAGAGCUCGUAGGCGGUUUGUCGCGUCUGUCGUGAAAGUCCGGGGCUUAACCCCGGAUCUGCGGUGAGUACGGGCAGACUAGAGUGCAGUAGGGGAGACUGGAAUUCCUGGUGUAGCGGUGGAAUGCGCAGAUAUCAGGAGGAACACCGAUGGCGAAGGCAGGUCUCUGGGCUGUAACUGACGCUGAGGAGCGAAAGCAUGGGGAGCGAACAGG